GAGUCGUACUUGUGUCAUCACUGGCUGAGCGAGGGACCGCCCUGCCCUCUUGAAAGGAAAAAAGGCGGUGUGUUCGAAUAAGACAGCCCAUAUUAGGAAAGCCUUUGGAAGAUUCAGCCCCCCCCCCCCCACCUCACUCUUCGAAAAAAAAAAAAAGAAAAAGAAAAAAAUUGCACUGGCACACUGAGUGGCCCAUCCCUCCCCAGUCAGGAGUUAGUGAUUAAUCUCAGAACAAAUACAAUACUAUGGACCUUCACUUCAGUCUCUGUAUCAUCACAACCAUUAAUAAAAGCAUUCCAAUAGUAAUAUGUCUAUCGUGCACACUGAAAAAAAACAUCCUUCGAGGCUCCAGAUUUAUGUUAUUUUUUUUUUUUACUAUGAACUACAUACUGCAUAUCUGCCAUGUGCAACUCAUAUCUCACGUACUGUUGGUCUGUCGUUCUGUUUGUUCCCUGGCUAAGGAGGCUCCUUUCCAUUACACAAGGCUGUUCUCGCAGGGCAAACGUGCGAGUCACCCCUCCCCAUAAGGUAUUGCUGUUAGCACGGACGACAGACAACCGCCACACAAAAAACAUUAAACGGCCACCUAAUUGCUGACCGGGUGACGAUACAGCAAACAUCCACACACGAAACAAAGUCGCCCUACAGAAAUCAGGACAUGUCCAUAGUGAGUCACCUGACUACAUUAUGGAAUGGCGGUACUGUAAGAUAUAAGAAAAUAAAAAAAGUUAUAGAUUUCUUCCACGCCCCCGAAAAUUCCCUGAGCUCAACUUCUCCCUACAACCGAUCCAGCCAUUUUCUUUUUUUUUUUUUUUAAAAGCAGCAUGUAUGGAACUAUCUUCUUGGCUUGUUUGUGAGUAACCCUAUUCUUCAUGAUAAAGUUUUUCACAUGAACAUAGUAAGAUUUAAUCACCCAGUCAUGAAAAGAAAUUAACAAAAGCUAAACCACAAACGUCUUGAGUUUCAGUGAUAGCGGGAAUUAAAUAUCUCGCGAAAUGAGUCGACUUUCAGUGAGUAAGAGCGAGUCAUGGUCCAGGAGUUUCAAAGAGAACACUAACCGCCAGAACCCACAGUUAACGGCAAGUCUUCAGAGGCUGAAGAUUGCUCCUUUUUGUUUGUUUGCUGUUUUUUAUUUGUCAAAAAAUUGGCACCGGAAAUGUCCAAAACAUUCAGAUGAAGAACCUCACUGGCACUGGCUGGAUUCUGCUUGUGGUUCCAUCUCGCUUGAAUUCUUCCACCUUCAGUUAUCAAAACGCAUGCCUUGGACACAGGAGCCAUACAGUGUGGCAAAACAAUUUCUCUGCCUUCUACGCUCAGAGCAAUAAUGAAAAAUGAACGGCGCAUGCUGUAAGGAACACAUUCUUAUCAAAAAAUAAAUGCGUCUGAUUUUGUUUUGUUGCUGAUAAUGGUAUCUCCUCAGCUACAGAUCACAAUCCACAGUGAGCCCCUGCAUGGAGAAAUCAGCCUUUUUUGCUUGCCUUACCCAUCACUAAAUUAAUUUGCAUAUUCACUUCAAAUGUCAGAAAACAUCUGCAAACUAAUGCAUUGAAAUAAAAAGCUUUGACCUA